UCUAGCGGUGGCCGCUCGUGUUCGACGAUCGAAACCGUGCUGGCUGGCUCCGGUAAGGUGGGCCGCGAGUGUGUCCGUGUGUUUCGCAUCGGUUCGUUGGUGAAAUAAGGGUGUUUACUUACGAGUGACAGGGAGCACGAGUACAGGCCGGAUCUAAAAAUAAGACUGCGCCAGCGAAUUAGUCCGCCGAACACGAAACCCGGCACGGAUACUGUACGAGUACGGAUGGUAUGGGUAGCGAUGUUUGCGAUCGUGGUACGCACACACGAGUGAUCUGCGGUGAUCUGUGGCAGUGCGUGUGUACGAUGACUUUUGCACCAAUACGCGGCGAUGCAAGCGUUCGAUGUGUUGAAUGCGGUGCGCAAGGAGAAAAUCCCUGAAACUCCCUGCCGCAUUACUCCUGCGAGUUUUCCCUCUAGAACUCGUACUGGAAGAAUCGGGUGCGUGUGUGUGUGUGUGCGUGCGUGAUCUGGUGCAAGCGGCUCGGGACGUGCAGUACAGGGCCUACGUCGCCAGUUGUGUCGCGAUUGUGAGCUAGUGUCAGUGAAAUGUGUGCGAGACGAAGACAUUCCCGGGCACCACAGCACAUGGUUCGGGAAAGCCGUUUUAUUUUUUAUUUUUUGCGAAAGUGUUUCAUGAUCUGAUCUCCGCGUCAAGUGUGUUCUAUCGCGGCGUUAGAUAAGGGCCAUUAUUUGGGUGGUAGCUGUUCGGGGAGCCGGUACGGAAAUGUUCUAGGGCGAAUCUAGAGCUCGCUGCAGUCCACUCCACGGUGAAGCAAAAGUGUAGCGUAGCGAACGUUAGUUCGAAGACGGAGCUCCGAGAGCACGAGUGAUGCAACAAGUGGGCCGGCGAGCUCAAUUUUCAGUGUGAAGUGAUUGGUUUUGCAACGGACAACGAUUCUAGCUAACGCCACUUUUCUCGGACAUUUCCAGCCGAAUCGUUCCGACAGUCCGGCGAGUGGUUCUUCAGUGCUUGAUGUAAUAUCGAUUGACAGCGAGCAAUCGAGAAGGUUUUAGUUUAAGCUACCGUGAAAGAGUGUUUUAAGCCGUCCAAAGGUGCAGUGUGGUGACCACAGACAGAGAUCUAAAUCACAUCAUUGGGUUGGGUUUGAAAUGGUAACAAUUAUAUUGGUGAAGCGUUGUGUGGAAAGUAUGUCAGUGUUCCAGUUAGAAGAAGUCUACACGAAAACAACCGCUGGUGAUAAUUAGUAGCAGCACGAGUCCAGUAGUAGUCGUUCGAACGACUCGCACAUCUUCAACGUACGGAUCUGAACGGAUGCUAUCAAAAUGUCGUAUCGAAGUUACAAUUAUCCUUGGUCAACGUCGAGUUACAAUUCAAGCUCAUCAUCGUAUUCUGCAUCAUCCAGUCUGCCAAGUUCCUAUCGAAGCUCCAGAUUCUCGACCGAACCCUCAACGACGUCUCGGUUCGGUUCGUUGAGUUCCACGAGCACUUACCGUCCGUCAUUUUCUUCCGGGAGCUACCGAACGCCUCGACCAACGACGACCACCACAGCUCCGAGCUCGAACGUUUCCUCCUUCAUCAGCCGGUACUCUAGCUUGGCAGCCGAUAAGGAGAAGGAAAGGGAAAGAGACAAGGCGAAGGAAGAAGAACGACGGAAGGAGCGUGAAUUAAGGGAGAGGGAACGCGAAAAGGAACGCGAUCGCGAGAAGGAACGAUUGAUCGAAACAUCCAAGAAGCUCGAGGCAGAAAUAAAGGAGAGCAAACCUGCUCCACUGAAGAAGUCUUCACUGAUUGCGGCAAAGUAUGGUUCCAGCAAGGAUGUAACAGCGGCCGAUGAUUCAUCGUCGAAGAGCGGUACAGCUAGCAAGAUCCAAUCUACUAAAGAAUCUGGAUUGAAGCCAAAAAAGGAUAACGCACCGCCUGUUACGUUCACCACACGCUAUGGACGAACCGGAGUUGCACGGGAACAAUCCCGAGAACCGAGUCCAGCGACAAGAACAAACUCUUCCACAUCGAUCGCUACGCGAAGCAGGCAGCGUGAUCCAAGUCCUGCCGCUACGGCUGUCACUGAGAGGGCACGGUCUCGUGAUCCAAGCCCCGCCGUAGAACCAAAGCGUACCGGAGGGUAUGCGUUGGCAAUAGCUAGUAAGCUGUCCGGCACAAAGCUACCGCAACAGAAUGCUCCCAAUGAAUAUCGCAGACAAUCGAGCGGUACCACAUUUGGCCAGAGUAGGGCACGAUCGCGCGAUCCCAGCCCAACCGUUCGUACCAGAACUUCGCGCGAACCAAGUCCCAUGGAGCAAAGGCGAAUACAGUUGGCGAACAAAAUGAUCGCUACAGCAGCUCGCUCUCGCGACCCAAGUCCGGCACCGGUCCAGCAGUUAAAGCAGCCGGGCGGGACGAGCAAACAGGGUACUAAUGCUGAUCAAAAACAGCGGUUUACGAGCUCCAUAACAAUCAAAACCGCACCUGGAGUACGGUCGCGCGAUCCCAGCCCAGCAGAACCGAGGAAGAUCCCAACGUUCGGUAAUGCGAGCAAGGUGCGAUCGCGAGACCCAAGUCCAGCGGACACGAAACGAGCAAGUGGACGAGCAUCUCGCACGGGUAACGAUUCUGGUAUAGUGAAACCAUCGACGUUUGGCUCGGCUACAAGAAAAACGCGUGAUCCAAGUCCCAGCGUCAAUAGUAAGGUGCGCAGUCGGGAUCCAAGUCCAGCAACGGUUCCGCGACGAUCUUCACGAGAACCAAGCCCUGCCGAAUCGGUACGAGAGAAGUAUGGACUGGGGGCGACUGGAGCGUAUCGACCGUACGGCCGAUCGAACAGUGCUCUGGGCGCUAGUCAUCGGUUUGGCGCCAGUGCCAGCCCCGUUCCCAAGAGCCCAAUAGCAGAUAUUGCACUGUCGUACAUGACGUCCAGCGAGGCAAUUGCAUCACGUACAAACCGGCCUUCCUCAAGACUACGGCUCAACUCACAGUCUCGCGAGCCAUCGCAAUGCUCGUCACCGCUUACAGCCAGUCAGAUCUUUUCCCCGGAGCCACGCCCAGCUUCCAAUGAGGACCAAAAGCGAGAAGGAUCCUCAUCGUCGUCGGAAACCACUGCGACAAGCUCGUCGUCAGAGGAAUCGUCGGAAGAAACGGAAAGUAGCGUAGAGCCCGAACCAAAAAUAUUUAUCGAAAUAACGCUGGUUACGCGUGGAACGUCCCCGACGCCACCGGGCGCAACACCGCUCAUUCGAGCCCGCCGGGCAGAAAUGUGUAAAACCAUCGAAAAGACUAUUCAGAAGCAACUGCUUCCUGUGGAAACGGCUGACAAGCAGAUUCAGUCCGAUCGGAUGGAUGAUCCUACGAAAUACCUGCGCUACGGACAACCUUCCACACGGAGCUGGUCCCCAUUCCUCGACCAAAAGUACGGUACAUCCUCACCGACGCUUGGGUAUACGCGUUAUUCAAGCGCGUCUUCACGAUACAGUCGCGACAGUCCGAGUUUCAGUCGUGAAACGAGCGUCAGCUCAUCGAAGAGUGACGCACCGGAGAAGAAGGAGCUUUCAACGCUAGCUGCCAGAGUGAAGGAGCUUAGUUUGUCCAAAUCCAACAGUACCAAAUCCACUGCAAGUCGAUCGUCGACGGGAAGCUCCCCGGGUGGCAAGCAGAAAACGCCACCCAAACAGAAAUCUCCGGAGAAACCUCCACCAGCACCGACCAAGGAUAGUCCAUCGCCUGUUCGUUCGGUCGCGAAUAAAGACUUCCGCAAGUCGGCACUGAACAUGGGUCCAGCUCCCGAGCGGCCACGCAAAUCAUCCACAUCGUCGAGCAAAUCGUCCAGUUCUUCGGCAUCGACGGCAACGCCAGUCGCCGAAACGAAUGGGCCCUCAAGUCGCAUUCCAAACGUACGGCAACAAAAUGGAACGAAGCUAACAAAACGCUCAGAUCGUUCGGCUUCGACCAGCUCGGAAGACACCAGCAGCGCUAGCGCAUCCUCCGGAACUGACACAGAUCGUGAGCAGUCGAUCACGCGUACGGCACCAAAUGAGCCGGACGAUCUGAGUGCCGCCACGGAUGCCUCCAACGCCAACAAUGAGCUGCUUUUGCGUGCGAUACAGCUGGCAACAAACUUUGUGAACAACCAGAAUCGUAAUGCAACCAGCUGGUACGAUAACGCUAGCACAACUAGCAUGUCGGAGAGCUUCGCGGCGGACCCGAACGGUAAAUCGGGCUGGGAGGCGGGAACACACUACAUGGAGAGCAUUAAGGAUGACUCCAGCAACGACGAGGACGAAGAAGAUGAUGAGGGUGAUGGGAAUGAACGACAGGAAAAGGAAGGUGACGACGAUGGUCAGAAGCCGACCAGCGACUAUCAGCAAGCGAUGUGGUGGAGGCGCUCGGGUAACUUUGAGCAAACGGCGACAGUGCAGGAAACUGUGCCGAGUGCCCGUAGCUACACGUACCGCAUCAGGCGCGUAGAAUCGGGCGAGAAACCGUGGUGGUUGACAGACGAUGGAAAUAAACCAGUGCCUGAGUUGGAACCGGACACGGCGGAAGCGUCCAGUACAGCCGAGCAGGAUAUGGCGGGUGGGACAGAGGCCGCAACCGACGAUGGUCGUACGACGGCUGCAACAAGCAUAUUUGAGAGCCAAACACUCAGUCCGUUCCGUCCGAUUAGGGUGACGCGUGUCGAGUCCGGUGAACGGGCAUGGUGGAUGAAGAGUACCGAGAACGUAGCGGCAAAGUCGUCCGGCGAGCGAAGCAAGCAGCCCAGCAAGGAACAAACCCCUGAAUCGGUGGGCGGUGGCAAGAAGAGUCCCGGAUACACAGUGUUUAAGCUUGAAGCGGAAGAUGAGGAGUGGUGGGAACAGGCCAUGGCUGAUCUUUCCCGCAAAGAUCAGACGUCCGGUAGCAGUCCCAGCAGCACGUCCGGCAGUCGGGAGCCAUCGAAGGAGCCUACACCGGAACCGCGAAGUCAAGGAAUCAUGCUGACUCGUGUCGUGUCGGGCGAGAAGGCUUGGUGGUUGUACAGCUCCGAGAAGGUGAACGAGCUUGGCAAAACGUCGGCGACAGAAGACACCGCAGACAACGGUAUCGAGAGCAAUGAAUCGGUGCGUGAGUGUAGCCCGGUGAAAGCGAAACCGUUUAAAAUAACGCGCAUCGAGUCCGGCGAGCAGCCCUGGUGGAUUUUGGAGACCUCUGACGCACCCGUGUCCCGGUCAGGAUCAAAAUCGAACGUUGUGAGCCGAUCGAACAGCUUCAACUCCAAGGCGAGCGGUAAACAGACCAGCCCGACAAAGUAUCGCAUCACGCGUGUCGAGUCGGGCGAAAAGGCCUGGUGGAUGACCGGUGACAGUCCGGACGAGAGCGCUGAAAGUCCCCGCAAGCUGUCCUCCUUUGUCGAACAACACGGAGAAGAGGAAGCGGAUCUGCAGAACGCGGACAUCGAGGCACAGGUGGAGCAGGAGCUGCAGAGCAUCACAAACUUUGUGGCCGGUUUGCCGAAAUUCCCCACGGGUGACUACACCAUCGAGCCAAUUACCAGCGAAACGCCACCGCUGGGUGAUCGGGCAAGCCCGGAAGGAGAGGCUGGUGGACGGGCUUCCCCGUACGAUAACAUUCCCUCGACCAUGUCCUCCGUUCCACUGCAAGCGAACGUUCAAGCUGUUGCGACCGUCUCGUUGGAGCACGGCGCGAACGUUUCAGCGGACGUUGGUGGUUUCAGCACGCGGAAGGAUACGCAGUCGCCGGUGUUCAUCUCACGGCACACAAACAUUGACGAUCUGUUGGGUGGUUCGUGCCACCCGCUCAGCCCCAUGAUGGACAGGAUGUUUGUUAUGGAUGAGCUGCAGGAGAUCACCCCGAAGGACGUCCGAGUGCACGACAGUACACCGCAGUUCAUUGAUUACGCAGGGCAACAGAGGCAACGCAAAGCGAGUACGCUCGACGAUGCCGCGCUCCAAGUGUACAAGGACGGAGACUAUGGAGCGUACCUCGAUCUGGAGUCAUCGCUGGCCGAACAAUCGGAAGACAUCGAGGGUCUCAACUCGAACCGCAAAAACUCGCUGGUCGUCCGUACGCAGCUCAGUGUCCGAGUUCACUCCAUUAUCGAAAAGCUUCUUUCCUCCGAAGGCCGCGAACUGCGACGGGUGCUGUUUUCGCUGAAACAGAUCUUCCAGGAGGACAAGGAUCUGGUGCACGGGUUCGUGGCACACGGUGGCCUUAACUGUCUGGUGCAGAUCGGUAGCGAGGCGGACCAGAACUACCAGAACUACAUCCUGCGCGCUCUCGGACAGGUGAUGCUGUACGUGGACGGUAUGAACGGUGUGAUGAAGCAUUCGCCGACAAUCCAGUGGCUGUACUCGUUGAUCGCUUCCCGCUAUCGGUUGGUGGUGAAGACGGCCCUGAAGCUGUUGCUGGUGUUUGUGGAGUACUGCGAGGGCAACUGCUAUCUGCUCGUUAGUGCCAUCCGGUUCAUGGAUACGGCACGGGCAGUGGUCCCAUGGAACAACAUCAUGCGGUUACUCAAAGACUACGAGAAUGCUGACACCGAACUGUUGAUCUACGCUACAUCCCUUAUCAACAAAACCCUGUCGGGAUUAAGCGAUCAGGACAGUUUCUACGACGAGAGUGACUUCCUGGAGCAGCAAGGCAUGGAGGGCAUCAUCCAGCGGUACAUGUCCCGCCCGGGCACGGAUCUCGAUCUACUCGAUCAGCUGCAGCUGUACGAAAACGUCCUACGUUUCGAGGACGGUGAGUGUGAUGGUAUACGCAUACCGGACAAUACUGUCCGCAAGACGCUUCGGUAUCGUUCCACCGGCAACGAUACGACUGAUCGACGAAAAUCGCGUCGACACAGCACGGGUACUGCUCCACCUCCACCUCCCUCAGUUGCUCCUCCGCCUCCACCUCCCCCACCACCACCACCUCCUUUGCCCGCCUUCCCCAUGUAUGCGGCACCACCCAGUGGUCCUCCACCACCACCUCCGCCACCACUACCCCCACCAAUAGCACCGGUACAGCUGUACGGUGGACUGCAGCUGCCCGGACAGCAGCGUCAACAGGACGAGGACAGUUCUAGCUCGGCGCACAGCGGUGAUCAUCUGCCGGGAGCCGGUUAUCACGAUCCGUCUCGCGAUACUACAGGUGUAACACCGGGAUUGCGUCGACGACGGGAACGCGCCGAGCGACAGAAGAACCUUCUACGUGAACAGCAAGAGCUUGGCCAGUUCCAGAACGGGUGUAUUCCUACGGCAGAAGACGCCAACAAUGGAUACUCUACGGCACACUGGAACGGAGGAUUCUACCGCAGAUCCAGUGGACUUACUAACGGCAAUGGCACUGGAACGUCUACCAACUCCUUGCUGCUAACACCGCCAACCAUCCACGAAGAAGACAAACUUCAGCUGCGGCUGAACGGCGGCCUAACCUCGUCUGUGAUUUUGCACAAGCAACAACCCCUUAAUCAUUCCGAGCACACAAACGGUAUCGUUCAGACUAAUGGGAACGGCACGACCAAUGGCGCAUCUCCACUGGACAGUUUGGAGUAUCGCAACAGUCGCAAUCUGCUGCUCAACAAGCACGGCAUCAGUGGAACUAACGGUACGGCCACCGAUCGCUACAAGGUAGAUCUCAAUGGCAAUAGCGUAAGAAGUGCGCGCGGUGGAGCCAGCAUACUGGCGGAACCGGACGCCGAGAACAAGAGUCCCAACAUUAAGACACAGAUGAGUCUCUCGGCGUACGGGAAGCAGCUAACAAACGGUAAGGAUUCCUCAGACUCGAGCUAUCAACGGCGAUCCGCUACAAACGCGGGCUACGAACGGACGAAUGGCACCGUGAACGGAACGCAUGCCGAGACGAAGAGUCAAGAUCUCCCGCCGGUUCAAGCAGAAUCGGACAACGAAGAUAAGAAACUGAUCCUCCAGCUGAAGAAGGACCACACGGUGAAGGAUCUGACCCAGAAGCUCAGCUGUCUGCCGCUAAGCCCGCAGGAGGAAAAGCCUCAGAACCGUAUCGGUGACAUGUCGGGUCUGAUUUCCAAGGCCAAGGAAGGUUUGGCCAAGAGCAAAAGCAACAAGGACAUCUCGCGAUCGCCCAGCGUGGACAAUGACAUCAAGAAGUUGGCCAACGGCGAGCCGAAGAAAUCGGAAAAUGAGCUUCACUGGGAAGAGAUUGUCAAGAACAUGACGCGCAAGCUAAGCCUGUGCGAUCUCGACUUUACGGAUCUCACGUCGGACGACGAUAAGGAUUUGCUGGCUCCGCGCGGCUUUGGUGGUGCGGUGCCACCACCACCACCUCCGGGCGGUAUGCUGAUGAACGGAAUGCCACCUCCACCGAGCAUGAUGCGUCCGCCGCCAACUAACCUUGUGCCACUGCCGGGUAACAUGCUCAACGGAAACGGCAUGGGCCAACUGAACAGCUUGGACGGUUCGGCCACUAUUAAGAAAAACAAAAAGACUGUGAAACUGUUCUGGAAGGAGGUGCGCGACGACAUGAUUCCGGCUAUGAUUCAACGCACCAUCUGGGAUGAGCUGCCGGAAGCGAUAGUCGACACCCAGAAGCUGGAGCAUCUGUUCGAGUCCCGAGCCAAAGAUUUGAUGACCAAGGAGAAGCAACAGGAGCUGAACAAGAACAAGGAAAUCAUCGUCCUGGACCAUAAGCGCUCGAACGCGAUCAACAUCGCCAUGACGAAGCUGCCUCCCCCGAGAGCCAUUAAGGCGGCCAUUCUGAAGAUGGACUCGACGGUCGUGACACGUGAAGGCAUCGACAAGCUGCUGAACAUGCUGCCGUCGGACGAGGAGCGAUGCAAAAUUCAGGAGGCUCAGAUGCUGAACCCCGAGCUGCCGCUCGGUACGGCCGAACAGUUUCUGCUGACGCUGUCCUCCAUCUCGGAGCUGGGCGCCCGGUUAAAGCUGUGGGCGUUCAAGCUGGACUUUGAGAACAUCGAGAAGGAAAUAGCGGAACCGCUGAACGAUCUGAAGCAGGGCAUCGAGCUGCUCAAGUCUAAUCUCACGUUCAAGUGCAUCCUCUCGACGCUGCUGAACAUUGGCAUCUUUCUGAACGGCGCGCCAGUCAAGGGGUUCCAGAUCGAUUAUCUGGCCAAGGUGCCGGAGGUGAAGGAUACCGUGCACAAGCACUCGCUGCUGCACCACCUCUGCCACAUGGUGAUGGAAUCGCAGGCCAACACGACGGAUCUGUACUCCGAGAUUGGGCCGAUCACGCGCGCCUCCAAGGCCGACUUUAACGAGCUGGCCCACAACAUUGUCUACCUGGAGACGGAGUGCAAGGCGUCCUGGGACCGGUUGAAGCUAAUCGGCAAACACGACACGGCGCCGCAUCUGAAGCAGAAGCUGAUCGAUUUCCUGGCCGACUGUGCCGAACGCAUCAUCAUCCUGGACAUUGUGCAUCGACGGGUACUCAACAGGUAUCGGAAGUUCCUGCUCUGGCUCGGUGUGCCCCAGCUGCGCAUCGCCGAAUCACGUCCCAAUGAGUUCUGCCGGAUCGUGUCCGAGUUUGCGCUCGAGUACCGGACGACGCGCGAACGUGUCCAGCAGCAGAUCGAGAAGAAGGCCAACCAUCGAGAGAGAAACAAGACUAGAGGCAAGCUGAUAGUGGACGUUGCCAAAUUCAAAACCCAGGAAGAUCGAGCUGAUGACGAACUGCGCACUCUGCUUGGCACGCCUACCAAGGGCCCCGGUGGCGAGGAGGUAGAGAUGAGUGGUACCUUAACCUGGCGCCGGCGUCGCGGUGAUGCGACUGCAUCUCCGGUAACGCUCAUGAACUCGGCGCACCCAACCGUACCUAGCCCCGGUCACAACUCCAUCUCGGUGAUCGGCGGCCGGGACGAAAGCUUCACCGACGGAGAUGACGAGAUACUGGAGUCGUUGGUGAAAACAGCCACCAAAACGGCCACCCCACGACCGACGCAAAGGGAGCGGAAGCGAACACGCCAGGCAGAUCGGAAAUCAUUCAAACGAUCUAGAACGCGCGAAGGAUUCACAGUGGAACGAACGGGAAGGUCACCUCCCCUUUAGCGAGCGCCUCUCGCCAAACAUCUUCCUUCCCGUGUAUCGUGUUAGGGUUUAGACCGACCCCUCUCCGGUUGUUUUCCCCAAAACUCCCCGCCUAGCGUCUCGAAUGGCCACUAGCAGUGUACCAUGUUGUGCGUUAGUCUUAAGUGCGCCCACCGACUUCCAACUUUGGACCGACUUUCCAAAACUUUUCCAUUCGUAUCGGUUCGCCAUUAUACAUACCGUACGACGCACGUUGAAGAACGGAUUAUCGGAAGAGGAAAAGCAACAUGUGGCCUCGUUAAUAAAAGGAUAUUGAAUUCGGGCCGCAUCAUCACCCGCUCGCUGGGGGAGGUCCUGGUAUGGAAGGGCAAACGGCGGACGGACGAAACCAACCCGAAGGACAUUUGUGCUUUGCGGCUAUAGUCCGUGCGGCUAGACAAGGACAGUGAAGUUUUGAUAGCGAUACCAGUGAGAAAAGUGCCAGCCCGGCCAAGUAAAUGAUGUUACGCCACGAUCGAUACGCCUCAUUCAACAUUCUGUUCCGCAUGAAAUAAUUCCAAUGGGAUGGGAUCAGUUCGGGCAGCUCGCCGUGUUCACCACGGCGCGUGAAACGGAUCACUUUAUGUCACUACCAAAAUCUGCAUCCGAAGCAAACAUUAGCUAGGCUAAAUAGGAAAACGAGCAGCAUUGCACUAUAUUGCUUCAAGGCGCCGGGACAAAAAGCUUCGGCCGAUCAAAGAUAGAAUAGGGGAAAGAAACGUUAGGCCUCCUAAAGACCGCCUUAAUAGCAGUGACCGUAUUAAAAGAAAUUAAAAAAAAACACACCUACUGCUGUUACAUCGCCAAUGUGAUACGAAAAACAAAGGUACGAACGAUACUUUUAACGAACAAAAGACUCAAUCCUUAUGAAAAUCAAAGAAUAAUCGGAGAAAAGCCCCAUGCGUCGAAACAACAGCAGACCAACUGGCAUCGAUGGCAGAGAGCGAUAGAGAGAGAGCUAUAGAGAGCGAGAGUACAGUGUACAGAAGAACAAAGAGUUGUUUUUUUACUCAAUUCACUUAGAAAAACAGAUAUAACAAUUAUUCAAUUCAGAAUACGACAACGACAGGUUCGAUACGUCGGGCAAAUGUACUGGACGCUUAUACAAUACACAAACGUGCGCUUUCACGGGCAAGAUCAUUUUCUGCACCGCGGAAUGACACAUGUAAGCAAUAUUAAUAAAUUAUAGACCAUUCAA